AGAACGAACGCUGGCGGCAUGCCUAAUACAUGCAAGUCGAACGAACACUUCGGUGUUAGUGGCGCACGGGUGCGUAACGCGUGGGAAUCUGCCCUUGGGUUCGGAAUAACAGUUGGAAACGACUGCUAAUACCGGAUGAUGACGAAAGUCCAAAGAUUUAUCGCCCAGGGAUGAGCCCGCGUAGGAUUAGCUAGUUGGUGAGGUAAAGGCUCACAAGGCGACGAUCCUUAGCGUGGUCUGAGAGGACGACCAGCCACACGUGGGACUGAGACGACGGCCCAGACCUCCGUACGGGACGCGAGCAGGU
rnacentral:rRNA from 1 species